CAGAAGUCAGGCUGUGUUGGCAAUUUGGAGGAAGGCCAGAUUACUCUGGAAAGACUUUCUGGAAAGAAGGACUGAAUGUUCAAAACAGAUUAGCACCCUGACAGACUGAGAAUGAGUUUGAAGAUCUCUGUGGCCAGAGACUAUAAGGAUUAUAUUAUCCCUUGCUUUUCUCUGUAAAGCAAGAGCCCAGAUGCGCUGAGUUCCAGGGGUGAGCUGGCCAGGCACAUGGCCCAGCCUCAACUCUAUUUUUACUUCACAGAAAGAGGUGUCUGAGAGAUGACUGUAUACUGCCCUAAGAACAGAACAUGCAAUAUUGGUGGGUGUUUUACCACUGUACCGCCUGGAAGACCCGUAGUAGCUUCGGUGCUUUUCCUCAGAUGUUUCUUUCAAGGAUCCCUGAAUAUAAAAGGUCCAUAAAUUUGAGGUGAGACCAUGAAGACAUCAGUAAGAAGACAUGAGAUGAUAUCCUUUCAACAGUCACUUUGAAGAAUUUCAGUUCAUAUAAACAUUUUGCACUGCAAGAAUAACCAUGAAAAUAGAAAUUUCUACAAAAGAUUCUCUGUAAUGUCAGUUUUGGAUUGCCUUUGAGAGUAGGCUCCAUCCAGGAAUGAUUAGAUGUUGCUAAUCUGCCAUGUUUCUAAAAGUUUUCUUAAAUCCGUAUCACGAUGAUAAGAACAUGCUGUGGAAGCCAACCAGGCUCAUGGGACUGGUGUCAGAGAAUAAAGCUUUGCCUUUACAGUCUUUUGAUCAAAUAUACUUUGUGAAAACUAACUGCUUACCAGCAGUUUAGUAAUUAAGGUCUGCACAAAAGCAGAGCAGAACACAUUUAGUUUCUGUGACUAAAGACACAUACUAAAUAUUUUUUAAUUAAUUAAUUUAUUUUAAUUGGAAGCUAAUUACUUUACAAUAUUGUAGUGGUUUUUGCCAUACAUUGACAUGAAUCAGCCAUGGGUGUACAUAUGUUCCCCAUCCUGAACCCCCUUCCCACCUCCCUCCCCAUCCCAUCCCUCUGGAUCAUCCCAGUGCACCAGCCCUGAGCACCCUGUCUCAUACAUUGAAUCUGGACUGAUGAUCUAUUUCUCAUAUGAUAAUAUACAUGUUUCAAUGCUAUUCUCUCAAAUCAUCCCAUCCUCGCCUUCUCCCACAGAGUCCAAAAGACUGUUCUUUACAUCUGUGUCUCUUUUGCUGUCUCGCAUAUAGGGUCAUUGUUAUCAUCUUUCUAAAUUCCAUAUAUAUGCGUUAGUAUACUGUAUUGGUGUUUUUCUUUCUGACUUACUUCACUCUGUAUAAUAGGCUCUAGUUUCAUCCACCUCAUUAGAACUGAUUCAAAUGCAUUCUUUUUAAUGGCUGAGUAAUAUUCCAUUGUGUAUAUGUACCACAGCUUUCUUAUCCAUUUGUCUGCUGAUGGACAUCUAGAUUGCUUCCAUGUCCUGGCUAUUGUAAACAGUGCUGCAAUGAGGGAUACACGUGUCUCUUUCAAUUCUGGUUUACUCGGGACACAUACUAAAUAUUAAAGAUGCAAAUUAGAUAGUAAAGGUAGAUUAACACAGAUUUGUAAAAUAUAAAUAAACUCAAUUCUGUCUUAGAAAUAAUGCUGAAAUAGUUUACCUUUCAAAGCAAGUAGUUUUAGAUUUGGCUUCUCAAAUGUAUGUUGAGAAGUUAAAGAGAAAUAUGUAGAUCUUAUGACAAAAAGAAAACAAACACAUUAAAUCAUUGUCAUCAUCAUCAUUAUCA
ensembl:lncRNA